rnacentral:rRNA from 1 species
GUGCAGCAGGCGCGAAACCUCCGCAAUACACGAAAGUGUGACGGGGCCAUCCCGAGUGCCGUCCGCUGAGGACGGCUUUUCCCCAGUGUACAUAGCUGGGGGAAUAAGGAGAGGGCAAGCCUGGUGUCAGCCGCCGCGGUAAUACCAGCUCUCCGAGUGGUGGGGACGCUUAUUGGGCCUAAAGCAUCCGUAGCCGGCUAGGCAAGUCCUCCGUUAAAUCCAACGAUUCAAUCGUUGGGCUGCGGGGGAUACUGUCCAGCUUGGGGGCGGGAGAGGCCGACGGUAUUCCCGGGGUAGGGGUGAAAGUCCUAUAAUCCCGGGAGGACCACCAGUGGCGAAGGCUGUCGGCUAGAACGCGCCCGACGGUGAGGGAUGAAAGCUGGGGGGAGCGAACCGGAUUAGAUACCCGGGUAGU